rnacentral:misc_RNA from 1 species
GAAAUGCGAUACGCAAUGCGAAUUGCAGAAUUCCGCGAAUCAUCAGAUUCUUGAACGCAACUGGCGCUGGAGGGAUCUCCUUCCAGCAUGUCUGUUUCAGUGUCUGAAAACUUCCUAAAUACUCUAAUGUGUUUGACAAGGAGUGGUGUUUUAUGCACUAUUUUCCAAGUCUUACAUGAAAGAUGUAUGUGUGGGUCUUUGGAUCCAUCGAAUUGGUCAUCGAUUCUUCGGUGAUUUCGAUCGGAUGUCACCAAUUACUCGUAUACACAUAGAAAUUAUAUAUACUUUAUCAUCUGCAUCUGAAAUCAGGCAAGAACACCCGCUGAACUUAA